rnacentral:rRNA from 1 species
AGUGAACGCUGGCGGUAGGCCUAACACAUGCAAGUCGAACGGCAGCACAGUAAGCGCUUUCUCUUACGGGUGGCGAGUGGCGGGUGGGUGACGAAUACAUCGGAAUCUACUUUUUCGGGGGGGACAACGUGGGGAAACUUACGCUAAUACCUCAUAUGACCAACGGGUGGAAGCAAUAGUUCUUCGGGCCUUUCGCGUUAGUAUUAGCCGGUGCCGGAUUAGCUAGUUGGCAGGGUAAAGGCCCACCAAGGCAACGAUCCGUAGCUGGUCUGAGAGGAUGAUCAGCCACACUGGAACUGAGACACGGUCCAGACUCCUACGGGAGGCAGCAGUAGGGAAUAUUGGGCAAUGGGCGAAAGCCUGAUCCAGCCAUGCCGCGUGAGUGAAGAAGGCCUUCGGGUUGUAAAGCUCUGUUGUUGGGGAAGAAAAACAGCAGAAGUAUACCCGGCUGUUCUGACGGUACCCAAACAGUAAGCACCGGCUAACUUCGUG